CGCCUGGGGAGUGCGGCCGCAAGGUUAAAACUCAAAUGAAUUGACGGGGGCCCGCACAAGCGGUGGAGCAAGUGGUUUAAUUCGACGCAACGCGAAGAACCUUACCUGGCCUUGACAUCCAGAGAGCUUUCCAGAGAUGGAUUGGUGCCUUCGGGAACUCUGAGACAGGUGCUGCAUGGCCGUCGUCAGCUCGUGUCGUGAGAUGUUGGGUUAAGUCCCGUAACGAGCGCAACCCCUAUCCCUGGUUGCUAGCAGGUAAUGCUGAGAACUCCAGGGAGACUGCCGGUGACAAACCGGAGGAAGGUGGGGAUGACGUCAGGUCAUCAUGGCCCUUACGGCCAGGGCUACACACGUGCUACAAUGGCGCGUACAGAGGGCUGCCAACUCGCGAGAGUGAGCCAAUCCCUUAAAACGCGUCGUAGUCCGGAUCGGAGUCUGCAACUCGACUCCGUGAAGUCGGAAUCGCUAGUAAUCGCGAAUCAGAAUGUCGCGGUGAAUACGUUCCCGGGCCUUGUACACACCGCCCGUCACACCAUGGGAGUGGAUUGCACCAGAAGUAGUUAGUCUAACCUUCGGGAGGACGAUUACCACGGUGUGGUUCAUGACUGGGGUGAAGUCGUAACAAGGGUAACCGU
rnacentral:rRNA from 1 species